rnacentral:rRNA from 1 species
CCUACGGUGUGCAGCAGUAGGGAAUAUUGCUCAAUGGGGGAAACCCUGAAGCAGCAACGCCGCGUGGAGGAUGAAGGUUUUCGGAUUGUAAACUCCUUUUGUUAGAGAAGAUAAUGACGGUACCUAACGAUUAAGCACCGGCUAAACCCGUGUCAGCAGCCGCGGUAAUACGGAGGGCGCAAGCGUUACUCGGAAUCACUGGGCGGAAAGUGCGCGUAGGUGGGAGAGCAAGUCAGAUGUGAAAACCUAUGGCUUAACCAUAGAACUGCAUUUGAAACUGUUAGUCUAGAGUAUAGGAGAGGAAAGUGGAAUUCUUAGUGUAGGGGUAAAAUCCGUAGAGAUCAAGAGGAAUACUCGUGGCGAAGGCGACCUGCUGGAACAUACCUGACGCUGAUGCGCGAAAGCGUGGGGAGCGAACAGGAUUAGAUACCCCUGUAGUC